GACGUAGGAGGCGAGCGUUGUCCGGAUUCAUUGGGCGUAAAGAGCACGCAGGCGGUUUGGCAAGUCGGAUGUGAAAUCCCUCGGCUUAACCAAGGAAGUGCAUCCGAAACUGCAGUGCUUGAGUACUUAAGAGGAUCGCGGAAUUCCCGGUGUAGAGGUGAAAUUCGUAGAUAUCGGGAGGAACACCAGUGGCGAAGGCGGCGAUCUGGGAAGAUACUGACGCUGAGGUGCGAAAGCGUGGGGAGCAAACAGG
rnacentral:rRNA from 1 species